rnacentral:rRNA from 1 species
CCUACGGGAGGCUGCAGUGGGGAAUAUUGGGCAAUGGGCGCAAGCCUGACCCAGCAACGCCGCGUGAAGGAAGAAGGCUUUCGGGUUGUAAACUUCUUUUAUCAGGGACGAAGCAAGUGACGGUACCUGAUGAAUAAGCCACGGCUAACUACGUGCCAGCAGCCGCGGUAAUACGUAGGUGGCAAGCGUUAUCCGGAUUUACUGGGUGUAAAGGGCGUGUAGGCGGGAGUGCAAGUCAGAUGUGAAAACUAUGGGCUCAACCCAUAGCCUGCAUUUGAAACUGUACUUCUUGAGUGCAGGAGGGGCAGGCGGAAUUCCUGGUGUAGCGGUGAAAUGCGUAGAUAUCAGGAGGAACACCGGUGGCGAAGGCGGCCUGCUGGACUGCAACUGACGUUGAGGCCCGAAAGCGUGGGGAGCAAACAGGAUUAGAUACCCGUGUAGUC